GACCAGUGGGUUUAACAGAGGUAAAAACAGCUGCCUGCUGCAGCUGUAUGUAACGUUGAUGAGAUGAUGAUAGUGAACCAAAACAAUAAAGUGUGAACCAUAAAACCAACGUUGAAAUGCUUUGUAGACUUGAGAUGACCUGCAGAAUGGUGUGAUAAGCCUCUUUGGGUUCAUCACUUUGAGUGACUCCUUUUGCAUCUUUUUGUAGCCAUGCGAUGUAAUUGUUGAUGUAAUAAUAAUAUUGAUUAGAGCAGCUCUAAAUGUUUUUAGUGUUUGUUACAUGUUCCUUUUUCUGUGUGUACAUCUGAAUGCAUCUUUGUGUGUGUGUUCCAGAUCCUGCAGCUACAGAUUCUCCGCGUAGCAGCAGCAACUCGGACCACUUCAUGUCUGUCGUUAUUAUCAGCAAUGUUGUGAUGAUGGGUCUCCAACAUUACAAUCAACCUCCGUAUAUAGGGAGGAUUACAGAGUAUUACUUCUAUUUGGUCACCUUCAUCAUGUUUAUUGAAGUCAUGAAGAACCUUGUGCAGUUGGGCAUAAGGGAGUUCAUAAAAUGAGUUGGAAUCUGCUGGACGUUGCUGUACUCGU